GACGAACGCUGGCGGCGUGCCUAAUACAUGCAAGUCGAACGAAGCUUUUUUAACUGGUGCUUGCACCGACUUAAACAACUGAGUGGCGAACGGGUGAGUAACACGUGGGUAACCUGCCCCAAAGCGGGGGAUAACAUUUGGAAACAGAUGCUAAUACCGCAUAACCACAGAAACCACAUGGUUUCUGUGUCAAAGAUGGUUUCGGCUAUCACUUUGGGAUGGACCCGCGGCGUAUUAGCUAGUUGGUAAGGUAAUGGUUUACCAAGGCAAUGAUACGUAGCCGAACUGAGAGGUUGACCGGCCACAUUGGGACUGAGACACGGCCCAAACUCCUACGGGAGGCAGCAGUAGGGAAUCUUCCACAAUGGACGAAAGUCUGAUGGAGCACCGCCGCGUGAGUGAAGAAGGUUUUCGGAUCGUAAACUCUGUUGUCAGAGAAGAACGUGUGCGAGAAUAACUGUUCGUGCAGUGACGGUAUCUGGCCAGAAAGCCACGGCUAACUACGUGCCAGCCGCCGCAGUAA
rnacentral:rRNA from 1 species